rnacentral:rRNA from 1 species
AGUGAACGCUGGCGGUAGGCCUAACACAUGCAAGUCGAACGGCAGCACAGUAAGAGCUUGCUCUUACGGGUGGCGAGUGGCGGACGGGUGAGGAAUACAUCGUAAUCUACUUUUUCGUGGGGGAUAACGUAGGGAAACUUACGCUCAUACCGCAUACGACCUACGGGUGAAAGCAGGGGAUCUUCGGACCUUGCGCGAUUGAAUGAGCCGAUGUCGGAUUAGCUAGUUGGCGGGGUAAAGGCCCACCCAGGCGACGAUCCGUAGCUGGUCUGAGAGGAUGAUCGGCCGCACUGGAACUGAGACACGGUCCAGACUCCUAAGGGAGGCAGCAGUGGGGAAUAUUGGACAAUGGGCGCAAACCUGAUCCAGCCAUACCGCGUGGGUGGAGAAGGCCUUCGGGUUGUAAAGCCCUUUUGUUGGGAAAGAAAAGCAGCAGGUUAAUACCCCGCUGUUCUGACGGUACCCAAAGAAUAAGCACCGGCUAACUUCGUG